CCUACGGGCGGCAGCAGUGGGGAAUAUUGGGCAAUGGGCGCAAGCCUGACCCAGCAACGCCGCGUGAAGGACGAAGGUGCCAAGCAUUGUAAACUUCUUUUGUCAAGGGACAAAAUCAGGCUCGAGAGCCUGACCGAGGGUACUUGAAGAAAAAGCAUCGGCUAACUCCGUGCCAGCAGCCGCGGUAAUACGGAGGAUGCGAGCGUUAUCCGGAUUUAUUGGGUUUAAAGGGUGCGUAGGCGGGCUGUUAAGUCAGCGGUAAAAGCCCGGGGCUCAACCCCGGCGAGCCGUUGAAACUGGCUGUCGUGAGAUGUCGAGAGGUAUGCGGAAUGCGCAGUGUAGCGGUGAAAUGCUUAGAUAUUGCGCAGAACUCCGAUUGCGAAGGCAGCAUACCGGCGGCGAUCUGACGCUGAGGCACGAAAGCGUGGGUAUCGAACAGGAUUAGAUACCCCAGUAGUC
rnacentral:rRNA from 1 species